rnacentral:rRNA from 1 species
UUAGAUCUCCAAUCAGGCAGGA